rnacentral:tRNA from 1 species
UAGGCUGUAGUAUAUAGGUGGUACAUAAAAUUUUGAAUUCUAAGAUACGGGUUCAAUUCCUAUUGUCCUAG